ACACCUGUGCCUACCCAGUGCUCACUAGCAGGUGCUUAAGCUUGGGAGGCCAAGGGGCACUCACUCCUGUGAGCUUUAGCCCCCGAGGACAUAGAGACGGUGGUGCAUGUCACAGAGCACUGCUGUGAGAUCAGUGAGAUGUCCAGGCCUGGCCUAGGAGCACAGAGGUGAGGCUACAAGCCCCGGUUCAUGCAGCAGGGGACAGGGCACCCCCGAGACGACGCAGUGAACACAUCCAGCACCAGGGGCUCGGAAGUCCUGCCUGGCAUGAAAGAGCCUGGAAGCUGCUCUUCUGAUAGGGCACGGCUGGGGCAGCACUGGCAGCCACUCUGCCCACUGCCGGGAUAGCCAGGCCCUUGGUGCUUUCAGGCAGUGGUCAGGACAGGUUUGGGCAGCGGGCCUUCCCCCAGCCUCUGAUGCGGAUGGUGACUGGAGCCCGAGUCUGGGCAAGACUCUUGACCAGGUGUCUUCGAGUGCCUCAGACUCCCUGAGCCCAGACUCCAGUGCUGCUGGCCACGCCUCUCCUGCACUCACUGCAAGGGUCCAAGGUGCAGGGAGCACAGGUGGCCCUUGGUAAACCUCCUCUCUCCAGCCUUCGCGCCUCCCAACAGCAGUGCAGCCCAGCCCUGAGGGGUUCCCUGCCCCUCUUCUGCCUCUGGAGGGCGCCGUCUUAUAGGGGCGUGCUGACCGUGCUGCAGGGGGCAGCAGUAAGAACACAAUGUCCCCAUAAGUAUGGAGCACUGGCUGCUUAUCCAGAGAAGAAACUGUGGCUGUCUGUGUCCUGUGUGCUGGUCCCAAGGCACAUGGCAUGGGGCAGGGGCUGAGGACCUUGGAUAAUACCCGCUUCUGUGCAGAAGCGAAGGCACCGAGGUUACAUGACCUGCCUGAGGCUGAAGGGAGGGGGUGCCAGGCUCCAACAGCACCAGGGCAGAGGGCACAGGUGCUCCUGACCUGCAGUACACAGUUCUGGGCCUGCAGACUCUGGAACACCUCCAGACACACUGGAGCUAUACCAGCCCAAGGAGCCAGUGAGGCCCGGGAGUUCAGGACUCUAACCGUUCCAGAGACCUUCGAUGAGAGGAACACACGGGAUGUUGCCAUCUUAUCGCUCACAGCAGAAUGUUCUCAAGGUUCAUCCACCCUGUGGCAUGUGCCGGAAUCGCUUUCCUUUUCAAGACUGAAUAGCAGUCCAUU